UUGUGAUAUUAUUUUUAUUUGAUAUUUGGGUAGCUGGUUUUGCCACACCUGAUGUGUUUAGUUUAUGCUUCACAUAGACAAGGUCUUGCAUGCAAACUAACCAUCUUUUCUAACCCACUGCAUUAUCUGACACACAUUAAGAUCAAAUACAUAAAC